AUCUCCCGGGGGUGGGGUCGCCGGCAGUCUUUGGUCGGCUCUAACGAGAGCUUUAAAGGCCAAGGGGUCUGCGAUCUUCAGACGAGCCCGUCUUCACCUGCUUUCAGCAGCACACCCCCUGGGGCACAUCCUCACUGCUGGUGAGGCGCCCAUGGGCUGUGGCUGAGAAACGGUGUCUGCACCCCAGGUCUGAGCACCCCAAAGUGCAGGCCCCUUGGAAGCGGCAGCGCAGGGCAAAGCCCAGAGCAGGAGCAGUGAAGGGUGCCGCCUGGAGCCUGGAGGCUGCAGAAGGGAAGGAAGGUGGAAGUGGAGGUCGAGGCCGAGCGAAGCUUUCAGACGUUGCCUCACUCUCCCAACUCCGGUCCUCGAACCUGCACUCAGCGCCCAGCGCAGGUGUGGAUAAGCGUUCAUAAAUCCAGGCAGGCACUGGAGGCUGCGUUUUGCCAGCCCCCUCCUCCUCCUCUUGCCUCUCCUCAUCUUUCACAGGAAGGAGGGGACAGGCGGAUGCGCGGGUCCCCAGACAGGAGAGUCCCCGUCCCUCACUUGACGUGUAACAGUUAUGAACUGCUUCGGGGAGCAGCCCUCAGACACCCAGGGCGGCCUUAGCCACAGGGAACCUGCAGAGGGGAAGCCUUCUCCUCCUGCAGACAGUAGAGAUACAGCCAGGGUGUUUAUUUAUCACAGAAGGCCUAGAUGCCUGAGAAGGCAGACGCUGGAUUCCUUCAUUUGCAAUGAGCAGAAAAACCCUGCCUUAAAUAGGCCUAAAUGAAAAGGAAAUCUAUUCCCUCUCAUUGGAAGGGGCUCAGCAUCGGUGAAUUCAGUGGCUACGAUGUCACAGCUGACAGGUUCCUUCUGCCCGGCUGUGCCCAGGGCUGACUUUGUCCCUGGGGAGCCAGAACCGGCUGCAGCAGCCCUAACAUCAUCGACCCAUGGGCAGUCUCCGCACAAGGAGCAAGCCCUCCCGGGAGCCCCUCACACGCCCUGCGGUCUCCGAUGAACAGCUAACAAACCAGCCCCUGGCAGAGGGAUGGGGGAAGCCACCUCGGGCCUGCACCUCUUGGGGUGUCCUCUCGGGUCAGGGUCAGAAUGGCAGCUGAAGCCCCCUGAAUCACGCAGGGAGGAGAGGAACCUUCACAAAGUCGGAAUUCUGCUCCACAGGAGGACGGUCUUCCCAGGGCCUCCAGAUCCCACAGGGCUCCCGGCAGAGCUGAGACCUGGUCCCGGCCCUCGGUGCCCCACGGGGACUGCGGCUGAGAUCAGAGCUGGCGCCAGCCCAGCCCCACGCCGGGAUCGAGGAAGACGGCGGCUGGCAGGCUGGGCCUCUGCGGGCGCUCUGGGCCCGAGGCCUCAGGCUCCUGGGGGGAAGCACCGUUCAGUUGUGGCUGUUGCUGCUGUUUGACCAGUCGAGGCUUCCACCCACGUUAAAACUCAAAGCAUGACUUCACCUGCUCUCCAGUGAGGCACAGAGGAGCAGGAGACGAAGCCACAUGACAGGCCCCACGUGACACUGCGCAGAGUUCCCUGUGUUGUGCAGCAGAGGGUAGCCAGCCCCUACCUGCCUUCUACCACCACAGCGUAAGUGUGCCUGUUCUUGAACUUGGCAUAAACGGGAUGACAUGGGAUGCACCCCUAUGUGUCUGACUGCUUCAGUUCACAGUCAUGUGUGAGAGACUCCUCCGUGCUCUGGUAAUUGUUCCUUUUCGUAGUUGUACAGUAUUCCAUUGUAUGGCCGUAGCACAAGCUUGCUAUUCUGUUGUUGACGAACACUUGAUCAGCUUUCAGCUUUUAACUAUAAUGAAGAUAUUCUUUACUAGCUCAAUGAAUGUUUCUAUGAGGACUUUUGCUCUUGCCUUUUGACGCACACUUGUGAUGCGAAUCCAGGAGCAGACUCACUGAAUGGUGGGGUUGGCGUAUGUUCAGUUCUAGUCAACUUGUUGCUGUUUAGUCGCUAAGCCAAGUCUGAUUCUUCGUGACCCCAUGGAUUGUAGCCCACCAGGCUCUUCUGUCUGUGGGAUUUCCCAGGCAAGAACACUGGAGUGUGUAGCCAGUUCUUUCUCUAGGGGAUCUUUCCCACCCAGGGACUGAACCCACAUCUUGAUACUAUCCUAGAAUUUUCCUAAGUGAUUGUACCAGUUU